GUGUAGAUGAUGCUGAGUCAGAAUGUGGACUGGAUUCGUACACAGACUGGGAUUAUAUGAUCAUUAAUAAUGAGAGUAGUGAUAAAUUAGGGCAAGAACUACAACCCUUGAUCCAAGAUGUCGACAAACUACUCCAACUUAGCAAAAAUUAAAGCAUAAUAUACAUUAGAAUAUCUUUUGUUUGUUUGAGUUAGACAUGCUGCAAUGUAUGAAAUUAAUGUAAUGGUGUGUUCAGUUAAACUAUGUAUUGUGCUGAAAAUGUGUUUAGUAUUUUAGCUGUCAUCCAUUUACAAUUUGUUUUGUGACAAAAACCAAAAUUGAAAAAACGGAAUUAAUUUUGAUGUCUGACUCAAAACACAUUAUUCAAUUUUAACAUUUUCCAUGUCUUUGUUCACACAGCAUAAGACUCUAGCCAACUGUCUCUAGAAAAGGGAGGCGUAUAUAUAUUGUUAAAAUGCAGUCAUGUUGGUCAGUCUGAAAACUUGUUAUCAAACAAAAAAAAUUACAACAGGGGCAAAAUCAUUAACAAAUACAGUAAAACUCAACUCACUUACAAGGAAUUUGAAUACAAAACGAAGUACUAUAAACUGGUUUUAGCAACAACUUUAUUUUGUAAUUUAACAGUGAACAUAUCCCUUUUCCUUAUGUAUGGGUGUUAUGAAAGUAGGGGAGGGGAUUUACAUUAGAUCUAGUAUGAAAUACAUGUAUAAAUCAAUGUUAUUUUGAAAAAAAUAGGUGUUAUAAUUGUAACCAAAAAAAAAAUAUGUAAAAU
rnacentral:misc_RNA from 1 species